UGCACACAUGACUUUAAGUCCCUUUGGCUAAAAGCGUCUGCUAAAUGGCAUACA
rfam:Salmo salar isolate Sally breed double haploid chromosome ssa08, whole genome shotgun sequence.